AACGAACGCUGGCGGCAGGCUUAACACAUGCAAGUCGAACGAUCCCUUCGGGGAUAGUGGCAGACGGGUGAGUAACACGUGGGAACGUACCUUUCAGUCGGGAAUAACUCAUGGAAACGUGAGCUAAUACCGGAUACGCCCUUUUGGGGAAAGAUUUAUCGCUGAAAGAUCGGCCCGCGUCUGAUUAGCUAGUUGGUGGGGUAAUGGCCUACCAAGGCGACGAUCAGUAGCUGGUCUGAGAGGAUGAUCAGCCACACUGGGACUGAGACACGGCCCAG
rnacentral:rRNA from 1 species